rnacentral:lncRNA from 1 species
GCCCUGGCAAUCACUAUUCCAGUCUCUGCUUCUAUGAGUUUGACUAUUUCAGAUUCCACAUGAAAUGCUGGAGUCCUUCAUCCGAAUGGUAAAUGGCACUUGUGACAAAAAUCAAAGUAACUAAAAAAGAAUCUGGUUGAAACCUCAGUAACAGUUGGCCUGUCUACUGCCUCACACUAACAAGUGACCCCCACCUUUACAAGUGUCUGUAAUUCUCACUAGCAGUAUAUUAGAGGGCAAAAGAUUUGAACAGACACAUCAGAAAAGAAGACAUACAAAUGGCCGCUAAGCACUUGAAAGGAUUCUGAACACCAUUAGUCAUCAGUGAAAUGCAAAUUAAAGCCAUAAUGAAUGGCGCUAUACAUUUUCAGAAUGGCAAGGAUUGAAGACCGAAAAAAAUCAAGCGUUGAGGAGAGUGACAAAUGGGGAGACAGCCGUGGUGCAUGAUCGCCGAAUAAAUACCAUGUGAGGAUACAGCAAGAAGGUGGCCAUCUACAAGCCAAGGAGACAGGCCUCAGAAGAAACCAACCCUUCUUACACCCUGGACUCAGACUUCUAAUCUCCAGAACUUGUUAAUGCACAAGGUCUUGUGUUGAAAAUGUAGAGCCACGAGAUAAAAGCAGCUUGGAUGGCUGACUCAUAUACAAGGACAACUGCCUGAGAGUCACCAGGGCUAUCAAGAAGUUUGCAGAAACAAGAAAUAAACUUUUACUGUUUUAAACUUUUGUGAAUUUUGGGUUUUGUUUAUCACCAAAUAAACCUAGUCUAUUCUGAUUGUUAUAAGUGGUUAAUUUGGGAAGUCAGAUAUAUUUAAAAUUGGCUUACUGCUGUAACAUAUACAGUCCAAAUUACAUAAUGGCUCAAAUGCAAUAGAAGUCUUUUUUUUUUUUGCUCACAUAUCACUUCACUGAGAUUCUGCAUUAAUUGUAAUGAUGAGGGUGAGGGUGUCUUAUAUCAUACAGUUGUUCAGCAACCCAGGAUGACCAACUUUGUAAUAUUUUUUCCCACUGGCUUCUAAAGUUCUCAUAGAUAGUAAAAUUCAUUUGGAAGAAGGAGAAACAGCAUGGAGGAUUGCAGAUGGAGAUUUUUAUGGGAAGGCUUGGAGGUUUGGAGGUUUAAUCGCAUGGAGAGAGAGAGCAUAGAACACGAGAAAUAUACCAAAACAACAGAGGUAAUGACCUCAGCUUUAGAGAUUUCCCAUUUUAUUAUAGUUUUAUUUCCAUUUAGAUAUGUCAUUUAGAUAUUAAGGUGUCACUGUCCAAUAAGGCAGUAUGAACCUGGGUUCUGGAUGAAGACUAGUCGGGAUAUUGUGUCAAUGACAGUAAUUGAAG